rnacentral:lncRNA from 1 species
CUAAAUAUUGUUAAUUUAAUUCAUAAAUUAUUUUUAAGAAUUUUCUCCCCCCAGUCAACACGUGUCUCCGCUGCAGCAAACCGGUUACCGGUUUUCAAGAUUGUAUAAUUCGGUCCCACCGUCAUAUAUAUCCCACCACCAGGUCCACACCGUAGCACCACCGCACCACCACCACUCCUCAUUCUCACUCUCACUCUCACUCUCUCUCUCUCUCUCUCUCUCUCUAUGUCUAAACAAACCAAUUAAAUAAUAAUGAUGAUAAUACUAAAAGAUUAUGUAGUGGACAUAGGGUAAACAUUUUAUAAACAUAAUACACAUAUAUAUAUAUAUAUAUAUAUAUAUAUAUAUAUAUAUAUAUAUAAGUUUAUAGAGGGUAAUAUUAAAAUGAAUGUCAUAAAGAGAAAUAAAAAGGGAUUAAGAGAGAGAGAGAGAGAGAGAAAGGGGACCUCUAAAAGAUUUAGCGCUGUGAAAGGCCAAUGCCAAAGCUGCCUCUGAUUUGCAGAGAGAAUCCAAAGGACAAGUAAUAGAGAAACAAAGAAACAAAGUAUUAGAAACUAAAGAACGCGAAGAACAGAAGCAGAGUGAUAUAGAAAGAGAGAUAUUGAAAAUUCCAAUCAAGUCCUUUCUCCUCCUCAUCUUCCUCCUCCUCUUCUUCUUCUUCUUCUUAUCCAAUCCGUAAGUCCCUGCGUUAUUAUUCCCUUUCUAUCUUCUCUUCUCCUCUUUUCUCUUCUUUUGUUUUAUUUUUAUUUUUUAUUUUUCCUUUUGUUUUCUUUCUUUCUUUCUUUCUCUAUUCAUUUCCUUCUCAUAUAUAUAUAUAUAUAUAUAUAUAUAUAUAUAUAGAUUUUGUGACUAUAGAACUGUAAACAGAUCUAAUUCCAAUACUUUUUAGAAAUUAUUUUGGUUUGUAUUGGACGUGUGGGGAUCUGGUUAUAGUUUAUUCCUG